rnacentral:rRNA from 1 species
GGGAACCCUGACGGAGCAACGCCGCGUGCGGGAGGACGGCCUGUGGGUUGUAAACCGCUUUUCUCAGGGAAGAAGUUCUGACGGUACCUGAGGAAUCAGCAUCGGCUAACUCCGUGCCAGCAGCCGCGGUAAUACGGAGGAUGCAAGCGUUAUCCGGAAUUAUUGGGCGUAAAGCGUCCGUAGGCGGUGAGUUAAGUCUGCUGUCAAAGCCUGCAGCUCAACUGUGGAGUGGCAGUGGAAACUGAUUGACUAGAGUGCGAUAGGGGUAGAGGGAAUUCCCAGUGUAGCGGUGAAAUGCGUAGAUAUUGGGAAGAACACCAGUGGCGAAGGCGCUCUACUGGGUCGCAACUGACGCUGGGGGACGAAAGCUAGGGGAGCG